GUGCUCGCUUGUGCAGCACAUAUACUAAAACUGGAACGAUACAGAGAUGAUUAGCAUGGCCUCUGCACAAGGAUGACCCACAAAUUCGAGAAGCAUUCCAUAUUACG